rnacentral:rRNA from 1 species
ACGCUCGACACCUACGGAGGCAGCAGUGGGGAAUAUUGCACAAUGGGGGAAACCCUGAUGCAGCGACGCCGCGUGAGUGAAGAAGUAUUUCGGUAUGUAAAGCUCUAUCAGCAGGGAAGAAACUGACGGUACCUGACUAAGAAGCACCGGCUAAAUACGUGCCGGCAGCCGCGGUAAUCUGAGCGGGCUGGCAAGGC